rnacentral:rRNA from 1 species
AUGAACAUCGCCCUUCUUUCCCGUUGGCUUUGGCGUAUCGCGCAGGGUCAGGGUGGCCUCUGGCUAGACAUUAUCCGGAAUAAAUACCUGCGUGGUCAACCCCUUGCCUUCUGCCAGAAAUCGGGCGGCUCUCAGUUUUGGCAGUCUCUCGUCCAACUCCUACCGGUGCUCCGCAUUGGUACCUCUAUCUCGGUGGGGUCCGGCCUCUCGACGCUUUUCUGGUUCGACCAUUGGGCCGGAGACUCGCCCUUCGCGGCCCGCUUCCCCACCCUCUUCUCUAUCUCUGUCGACCCUAUGAUUUCUGUUGAUAGGGCCCUUAGUGACUUAGGGCGCCUUGCUUUCCGCCGUCCUUUUGGGCCGGCGGAAUCCGCCGCAUGGCGUGAGUUACUUGACUGCGUUGCUCUUAACGAGCCGUUGGUGGAUGGCGACCAGGACCUUAUGCGCUGGCGGCUGGAGCCGUCUGGCCAGUUCUCCACCAAAUCGCUUUACUUGGCCAUUGCUCCCUCAUCCGCCCCCCUCCCCCUGUCGAUGGUGUGGUCCGUCCGCGUCCCACUGAAGAUUCGCAUCUUCAUGUGGCAGUGGAUCCGUGGACGGGUCCCGUCCGGCGUGGAGGUCCGCAAGCGAAAUGGCCCGGGCACUGGUAUCUGCCCCCUUGCGAUGUUUCUGAAGACUCCAAUCACAUUUUCUUCGCUUGCGUUUCCGCCCGGUUCCUUUGGAGCUGCUUUCACGAGAUUGUCGGUGGGAGUUGGUGCCACACCAAUUUCCCGGACCUUUUUGCUGAACUCCAAGUGUCCCCUACGACCUCUCGCCACAUUAGGUGGCUGGAGGUUGGGGUCCUUGCCUGGACGCUGUGGACCGUUCGCAAUAAGCUUGUGA